ACAACGAAGAGUUUGAUCCUGGCUCAGGAUGAACGCUAGCGACAGGCUUAACACAUGCAAGUCGAGGGGCAGCACAGGUAGCAAUACCGGGUGGCGACCGGCGCACGGGUGAGUAACGCGUAUGCAACUUACCUAUCAGAGGGGGAUAACCCGGCGAAAGUCGGACUAAUACCGCAUGAAGCAGGGGCCCCGCAUGGGGAUAUUUGCUAAAGAUUCAUCGCUGAUAGAUAGGCAUGCGUUCCAUUAGGCAGUUGGCGGGGUAACGGCCCACCAAACCGACGAUGGAUAGGGGUUCUGAGAGGAAGGUCCCCCACAUUGGUACUGAGACACGGACCAAACUCCUACGGGAGGCAGCAGUGAGGAAUAUUGGUCAAUGGGCGUAAGCCUGAACCAGCCAAGUCGCGUGAGGGAUGAAGGUUCUAUGGAUCGUAAACCUCUUUUAUAAGGGAAUAAAGUG
rnacentral:rRNA from 1 species